UACAUAGGUCCCAAGCGUUGUUCGGAUUCACUGGGCGUAAAGGGUGCGUAGGUGGCAGGGUAAGUUUGAUGUGAAAUCUCCGGGCUUAACCCGGAAACUGCAUUGAAUACUAUCCUGCUUGAGGUUUGGAGGGGGGACUGGAAUUCUCGGUGUAGCAGUGAAAUGCGUAGAUAUCGAGAGGAACACCAGUGGCGAAGGCGAGUCCCUGGACAACACCUGACACUGAGGCACGAAAGCUAGGGGAGCAAACAGG
rnacentral:rRNA from 1 species